rnacentral:misc_RNA from 1 species
GAUGAAGAACGUAGCGAAAUGCGAUAAGUAAUGUGAAUUGCAGAAUUCAGUGAAUCAUCGAAUCUUUGAACGCACCUUGCGCCCCUUGGUUAUUCCAAAGGGCAUGCCUGUUUGAGUAUCAUGAACACCUCAACUCUUGUGGUUUCCCACAAUGAGCUUGGACUGUGGAGGUUUUGUUGGCCCUGUGGUCAGCUCCUCUCAAAUGGAUCAGCUUACCGGUGUUUGGUGGCAUUACGGGUGUGAUAACUAUCUACGCUCGUGGUCGUCUCCAAGUAACCUCCAGUGAUGGAGGUUCGCUGGAGCUUAUAAAUGUCUCUCCCCAGUGAAGACAGCCUUUGAACGUUCGAUCUCAAAUCAGGUAGGACUACCCGCUGAACUUAAGCAUAUCAAUAAGCGGAGGA